GAAGCCGAUGAAGGACGUUACUAACGACGAUAUGCUUUGGGGAGCUGUAAGUAAGCUUUGAUCCAGAGAUUUCCGAAUGGGGAAACCCAGCAUGAGUUAUGUCAUGUUAUCGAUAUGUGAAUACAUAGCAUAUCAGAAGGCACACCCGGAGAACUGAAACAUCUUAGUACCCGGAGGAAGAGAAAGAAAAUUCGAUUCCCUUAGUAGCGGCGAGCGAAACGGGAAGAGCCCAAACCAACAAGCUUGCUUGUUGGGGUUGUAGGACACUCUAUACGGAGUUACAAAGGACGACAUUAGACGAAUCAUCUGGAAAGAUGAAUCAAAGAAGGUAAUAA
rnacentral:rRNA from 1 species